rnacentral:rRNA from 1 species
UGACCUAGCGGCGGACGGGUGAGUAAUGCUUAGGAAUCUGCCUAUUAGUGGGGGACAACAUUCCGAAAGGAAUGCUAAUACCGCAUACGCCCUACGGGGGGAAAGCAGGGGAUCUUCGGACCUUGCGCUAAUAGAUGAGCCUAAGUCAGAUUAGCUAGUUGGUGGGGUAAAGGCCUACCAAGGCGACGAUCUGUAGCGGGUCUGAGAGGAUGAUCCGCCACACUGGGACUGAGACACGGCCCAGACUCCUACGGGAGGCAGCAGUGGGGAAUAUUGGACAAUGGGCGCAAGCCUGAUCCAGCCAUACCGCGUGUGUGAAGAAGGCCUUUUGGUUGUAAAGCACUUUAAGCGAGGAGGAGGCUACUGAGAUUAAUACUCUUGGAUAGUGGACGUUACUCGCAGAAUAAGCACCGGCUAACUCUGUGCCAGCAGCCGCGGUAAUACAGAGGGUGCGAGCGUUAAUCGGAUUUACUGGGCGUAAAGCGUGCGUAGGCGGCUUUUUAAGUCGGAUGUGAAAUCCCUGAGCUUAACUUAGGAAUUGCAUUCGAUACUGGGAAGCUAGAGUAUGGGAGAGGAUGGUAGAAUUCCAGGUGUAGCGGUGAAAUGCGUAGAGAUCUGGAGGAAUACCGAUGGCGAAGGCAGCCAUCUGGCCUAAUACUGACGCUGAGGUACGAAAGCAUGGGGAGCAAACAGGAUUAGAUACCCUGGUAGUCCAUGCCGUAAACGAUGUCUACUAGCCGUUGGGGCCUUUGAGGCUUUAGUGGCGCAGCUAACGCGAUAAGUAGACCGCCUGGGGAGUACGGUCGCAAGACUAAAACUCAAAUGAAUUGACGGGGGCCCGCACAGGCGGUGGAGCAUGUGGUUUAAUUCGAUGCAACGCGAAGAACCUUACCUGGUCUUGACAUAGUAAGAACUUUCCAGAGAUGGAUUGGUGCCUUCGGGAACUUACAUACAGGUGCUGCAUGGCUGUCGUCAGCUCGUGUCGUGAGAUGUUGGGUUAAGUCCCGCAACGAGCGCAACCCUUUUCCUUAUUUGCCAGCGGGUUAAGCCGGGAACUUUAAGGAUACUGCCAGUGACAAACUGGAGGAAGGCGGGGACGACGUCAAGUCAUCAUGGCCCUUACGACCAGGGCUACACACGUGCUACAAUGGUCGGUACAAAGGGUUGCUACCUAGCGAUAGGAUGCUAAUCUCAAAAAGC